GAACCUUACCAACACUUGACAUGUUCGUCGCGACUUUAAGAGAUUAAAGUUUUCGGUUCGGCCGGACGAAACACAGGUGCUGCAUGGCUGUCGUCAGCUCGUGUCGUGAGAUGUUGGGUUAAGUCCCGCAACGAGCGCAACCCUCACUUUUAGUUGCCAUCAUUAAGUUGGGCACUCUGAAAGAACUGCCAGUGAUAAGCUGGAGGAAGGUGGGGAUGACGUCAAGUCCUCAUGGCCCUUACGUGUUGGGCUACACACGUGCUACAAUGGUAUUUACAACAGGAAGCAAGACGGCGACGUCAAGCAAAUCCUUAAAAGAUACCUCAGUUCGGAUUGCACUCUGCAACUCGAGUGCAUGAAGCUGGAAUUACUAGUAAUCGUGGAUCAGCGUGCCACGGUGAAUGCGUUCCCGGGUCUU
rnacentral:rRNA from 1 species